UGUUUACCCCCCUCACCCCCCCCCCUUUUCUUUCUUUCAGUUCUGGUAUGCGAAGCAGAGUGUUGUGCAAGCACCCGUGUCAUAUAGACUUUUGUGCUGCGAUCUGUGGCGGCUUUUCACUUUGAGGAGUUGGGUAUUUAGGUCCUUGGUGAAGUGGAAGUUUUUAUUUCAUUCCGAGAAGUUGUUGGGCGGCUUGGAAGGAGUGGUGUCGACUUCACUCGGGUUUGGGCGGAAGUGUUUAUUAAGAAGCUUUGUAGAAGAAUCUUUUAUGGUGUUGGGUUUUUGAAUGUGGCAGAUAGAGUGGUGUGGUUCGUUGGUGAUAAGCCUUUGAGGGUUGUCUUGAUCGGGGUGUGCAUUGCAGUUUGGUUUGUCUGUUGAGGGAAGUAGCAGUUGCGAGGCUUUAGGUUUUUAGCUAGCCAACGUCUGCAACGCUGUGACGAUUGUGGGAAGGAUUGGAGACGAGAGUUGUGUGAGAGAGAGAGAGAAAAUGACGCUGAGGACUCUUCGCAAACUUCGAAAGUUUUCACCCUUUUACUCUAGGGUGCCUGCCACCGAAGGUUCAGAUUCAGACGGGGCAAUGCGUUCUGGUGCGCCUUCUCGGUUCUCCUUCACAUGGUUCCAGCGCGCAUUCUCGAACGGUUCAACGUAUGGUCGCGUUCCGUUGUCAGAGAGUCCUAAGCGGGAACUGAGAAUGAGGUCGGAGACGAAAGCCAGGCGACAUCAAGACCACUCUAAAACGCGCAAGAAGCGUUACUCUCGGGUGUGGUGGUGAAAAUCUCGAUCAACAGGGGCUUGCUGGACUUCCCCCUUUGACACUGCGAUUGUGUAAGAUCCGCGAUUCUUACCGCUGGAAGAAUAGCGAUGCCGGGACGAGAGCUUAUUUCUGGCGUUUUUCCUGUUCUUCGUCUCUGUCGAACAUCUUCAUCGUCACGUCUCAAGUCCCUGGUUCUACUUGUUUCUUCCGAUACACACAAUAAUGCUCUUACAUGAAUGCCUGAUGGAAGGGGAGAGGUCGAGGCUGGCAAAGAGAAUGAGAUUUGCAAACACCUCUGGUGUGGACUUUCCCAGCCACAAAGUUUUGUUUGGAUUAGGUCAAUGUGUUACAGAUUUUUUUGUCAGGAGUCGGAAUUAGUCGCUGGAAAUGGCAGCUGAGUUUUCACCUUGUAGAUACUUAUUUGAUCUUCUACUGGAUAAACAGCCCAUUCUCAAAAGGUCUGUAGGUAGAGAGUUGGGCAAGUCUGCUUAAUACGCGCUUCCUCUUUCUAAAAUGAGUAUAGGACAUAAACGAGGUUGUAACGCAACCGUACCUCAAUGUGUUAUCCUCAUCAAUUUUCACACCUUUUCAACCCGCUUUGGGCUUUGUACAAUUGACGUCUCAGAAACCUGAACGUCUUGCAAUGGUUAUCUUGUCAAUGCCGCUAGGAGAGUCGUUCAUGCAUGUCAGCGUCCAGGAUCUCCUUUUGAUGUUGAAUUCUUUUAGUGUUUCAGCGUUUCCGUAAGAGAAUUGUAGUUUAGCAUGCGGCACAGAAGGUGAUAAUCAUUGUUGCAGGUCACCUAUCAAGUGGGCGUGGCUGUUACACUAUCAAGGGCGCUCUUCGAACGAAUCCUUGCGUGAAACGCAUCAAUUCGCCAUCACAACUCUCGGCAGCCGCAGGAUGGGCAUGCAUCGAGGGAUUCUGUGUAUAUCUCCGUGGGUGGACUCACUUUUGGUCUCAAGGAGGGUGAUGUUCUCGGUCUUUUGAUGAAAACAAAGACUGAUGAAUUGGGUAUGAGCGUGAGAGAGAAAGAGAGAUACUACCGCCGACGGGCUGCGGCAUUGAGGGAAAGAUGACACUAGAAUGUCAGAUCCCCUUACACACAUUCAAGACGCACUACCAAGAUUGCAUAGAGAAACCGAGCUGGGUUAAGAAUCUCUGAGAACAGGGCCAUUCGUCUUGAACUCUUUCACCUGCUCAACGUAAAGGGUGCCGAAGACUUCUACGUUUGAGGGCCGGAAACUAUGGAAUUGUAAUGUAAGAAAAUAAAACACACACACUGAAACAGCGAUCAAUUGGCUUUUUACCAUAAUAGAUUGGGCAAUAAGUCAGACAGAUGAUUAGGCAUAAAAAAUUCAAUGAAAGGAUAAAAUCCUAAAUUCAGUCACUAAAUUCAAUCACACAAUUGUUUAUAACAGUAGUAAAGAUUUGUAAAGUUAUUUAAAUUAUUGUCACAACUAUAAUGGGAGCCAUGCGAAAGAUCACUCCCAUGGGGUGUAGAAUAUAAAAGUGUAUUUUGGGGAAAAAAAAAACAAUAUAACACUCAAACUCCUCGACACGAUCCGGAAUUCAAACAUCA